CCAGCCCAUUGUCUCUAGGACAAAGAGCACGUUCUGUUAACAGGGAAAAGAGGUGAAUGGCGGAUGGAUCGGUGACCACCAGCCUCCGCCACGGAUCUCUGGCGUCCCUCCUGGCUGUCUCACUGUCAAGGAGCCGGCUUCGAAGCCGGUUGUAGCCAGUACGACACCCUCCCUGCAGACCCUGAAGUUAAUUGUGUAAGGAGCAAGUGCUGUGUGAACCCAUUUAAGCGAGAGCUGCAGCAGCCCGGUGCACUUUCUCAGAGGAACCUUCCCCAUGUGUGCUUGCUCUGCUCAGAGUCUGUGUCAGGGGCCAGAAGGAAGUCCAGGGAAAGAAUAUACCCCUGGAUAUGUCUUUUACUACAUUACAGAGACUAAUUUAAUGUCUUCCCAGCCAAAGUUCUUCAUUUCUUUGCCUUGCUCAUGAUUAUUGCUGGGGGACUAUGUGGCUUUUGAGAGCCUUUUGAAGGGAAUAGAAAUUGAGAUGCAAAUCAGUGGGAUGUAUCUUUUUUUGCUAUGCAAAAUUCCUGUAUGCAAUCUAAUCUGGUCCUGCAAAGCAGUAAGAUCUAAAGAUUUUGGAUUUAAUGCCUUUAAAAGUGAUCAGUGGCAGGAAUCAGGAAUCAGUAAAUAUUAAACCCAUGUCUCUCCCAUCUGAGACUCUACACUUCCUGGAUACUGACACCCAUAAGCGGCAGAAAUCAUAUUCAGCUGGUCAGUUGAAAAAAAUAUCCAUGCAUCCAUGCACAAAUAUUUAUUAACUGUCUAAAAACGUAGACUCUGCUGCCUACUGGGGCAUAAUCUGUGUCCUCAAAGAGCUGUGACAUUUUGGUGGCAGCAGCAGGCAGACAACCAAGAGAGAAUGAAGGACUAAAUCGAGGAGGAGAGGUGUGAGAAUUUUAACAAACAAGUGGUUCCUUUCUUGA